rnacentral:rRNA from 1 species
GCGGUUCUUAAGUCUGAUGKGAAAGCCCCGCUCAACCGGGAGGGUCAUUGGAAACUGGGGAACUUGAGUGCAGAAGAGGAGAGUGGAAUUCCACGUGUAGCGGUGAAAUGCGUAGAGAUGUGGAGGAACACCAGUGGCGAAGGCGACUCUCUGGUCUGUAACUGACGCUGAGGAGCGAAAGCGUGGGGAGCGAACAGGAUUAGAUACCCUGGUAGUCCACGCCGUAAACGAUGAGUGCUAAGUGUUAGGGGGUUUCCGCCCCUUAGUGCUGCAGCUAACGCAUUAAGCACUCCGCCUGGGGAGUACGGUCGCAAGACUGAAACUCAAAGGAAUUGACGGGGGCCCGCACAAGCGGUGGAGCAUGUGGUUUAAUUCGAAGCAACGCGAAGAACCUUACCAGGUCUUGACAUCCUCUGACAAUCCUAGAGAUAGGACGUCCCCUUCGGGGGCAGAGUGACAGGUGGUGCAUGGUUGUCGUCAGCUCGUGUCGUGAGAUGUUGGGUUAAGUCCCGCAACGAGCGCAACCCUUGAUCUUAGUUGCCAGCAUUCAGUUGGGCACUCUAAGGUGACUGCCGGUGACAAACCGGAGGAAGGUGGGGAUGACGUCAAAUCAUCAUGCCCCUUAUGACCUGGGCUACACACGUGCUACAAUGGACAGAACAAAGGGCAGCGAAACCGCGAGGUUAAGCCAAUCCCACAAAUCUGKUCUCAGUUCGGAUCGCAGUCUGCAACUCGACUGCGUGAAGCUGGAAUCGCUAGUAAUCGCGGAUCAGC